rnacentral:misc_RNA from 1 species
CAGACUCCUCCCUGACUCCGGAUUUUCCCAGCACUCCGCAGCACUGUCAUGGCGGCCGGAGCGAUCUCAUCGUCUCUCCCGGGUCUCAACGGGACGGGCUUGAGCAGGAGAGUUGAUUUUGCUAGGGUUUCGUCUCCGAGCUCUCAGAUGAUGAGAUCCCGGAGAGUCAAAACCCUAGUGAUCAGGAAUUCGGCUGAUACGGGAUCUGAGACGGUUCAAUUGGAGCCGGCUUCGGAAGGGAGCCCUCUGCUAGUUCCUCGCCAGAAGUACUGUGAGUCAAUCCACAAGACUGUGAGGAGGAAGACGAGGACUGUGAUGGUGGGGAACGUUGCGCUGGGGAGCGAGAAUCCUAUAAGGAUUCAGACUAUGACUACAUCGGACACCAAGGAUGUUGCUAGAACCGUCGAAGAGGUAAUGCGGAUAGCAGAUAAAGGAGCAGAUUUAGUCCGCAUUACAGUUCAAGGAAAAAAAGAAGCUGAUGCUUGUUUCGACAUAAAGAACAGCCUUGUCCAGAAAAAUUACAAUAUUCCACUGGUGGCAGACAUCCAUUUUGCUCCUUCAGUUGCACUGAGAGUGGCUGAAUGUUUCGACAAGAUUCGUGUUAACCCGGGAAAUUUUGCUGAUAGGCGAGCACAAUUUGAGAAGCUGGAGUAUACUGAGGAAGAUUAUCAACAAGAACUUGCACAUAUCGAACAGGUUUUCUCUCCACUGGUUGAGAAAUGUAAGAAAUAUGGACGGGCAAUGCGCAUUGGUACAAACCAUGGAAGUCUUUCCGAUCGUAUAAUGAGCUACUAUGGUGAUUCUCCAAGGGGAAUGGUAGAAUCUGCAUUUGAGUUUGCCAGGAUUUGUCGGAAGUUGGACUUCCACAAUUUUGUC